AUGUCACCCUGGUUUCACUAUUAACGCCUCAAGUCCACCGACGCUGCGAACUGCGAAACGGCGGCGAACCGAUUUACCUGUCUCACCCGCCACACGACAGUGCGUUAUAUUGCAUCUCGCUCU